rnacentral:Y_RNA from 1 species
GGCUGGUCUGAAGGUAGUAGUGAAUUAGCUCAACUGAUUGUUCACAGUCAGUUACAGAUCAGACUUCUACUCUUUCCCCUCUUCUCACUACUGCACUUGACUACUCUUAA